CGUUUAGGACAUCCAAGCUUAUUCAAGCUUCAGAAGAUGGUGCCUAGUUUGUCUAGUUUAUCUACAUUAGAGUGUGAGUCAUGUUAGCUCGAAAAACAUACCCUAGCCUCCUUUCCUCGUAGUAUUGAGAGUCAUGCAGAGUGUUUUUUCUUUAGUUCAUUCUGAUAUAUGGGGUCCUAGUAGAGUCAAUUCAACCUUG
rnacentral:lncRNA from 1 species